rfam:Myotis lucifugus cont2.20472, whole genome shotgun sequence.
GCCAGCUUGGCUCAGUGGAUAGAGCGUCAGCCUGUGGACUGAAGGUCCCAGGUUCAAUUCCUGCCAAGGGCA